rnacentral:rRNA from 1 species
GAUGAACGCUAGCUACAGGCUUAACACAUGCAAGUCGAGGGGCAGCAUAUUGAUAGCUUGCUAUCAGUGAUGGCGACCGGCGCACGGGUGAGUAACGCGUAUCCAACCUGCCUGUCACUCAGGAAUAGCCCGGUGAAAACCGGAUUAAGUCCUGAUGAUAUCAUUAGAGGGCAUCUGACGAUGAUUAAAGGUUACGGUGACGGAUGGGGAUGCGUCUGAUUAGCUUGUUGGCGGGGUAACGGCCCACCAAGGCAACGAUCAGUAGGGGGUUCUGAGAGGAAGGUCCCCCACAUUGGAACUGAGACACGGUCCAAACUCCUACGGGAGGCAGCAGUGAGGAAUAUUGGUCAAUGGACGGAAGUCUGAACCAGCCAAGUAGCGUGCAGGAUGACGGCCCUAUGGGUUGUAAACUGCUUUUGCAGGAGGGUAAAAUGCUUCACGUGUGGAGUAUUGCAAGUAUCCUGCGAAUAAGGACCGGCUAAUU